ensembl:lncRNA PCAT1 prostate cancer associated transcript 1
AAAAAAAAAUAACCCAGCCUCAGAGGUGCUUAUUUAGCAAAUUCAACCUUAAACCUGAGUGCAUGGAAACUAUUGAUGCAGUGUCCAAGGUGGAGAAAGGUCAGAGUGGAUCCAGAGGAGCCAAGAGAAGACGUCCAGCAUGGUGACCUGGGCUCAAGUCAAGGUCCUUAUUUCUCUGCAUUAACUGUAAUGUUAAAAGGAGGGACUUACCCAGAAAUAACACUGAAUGCAACCUAAAGCAGCAAGAAUCUUCAUGGGAACAGAAUAAACACAAAGGAUGUCUACCCUUCCUCCCUCCACCCACUUGGAUUCUUGUUUCUAGUUUGCACCUGGACAUAAGGCCAUUUUGUACUUCCACACAUAGAGCAAAACUGUUCUACACACCUAAAAUUAUAGUGUGUACCUUGUGCAACAAUGCAUCUAAAACACAAUUUGCAUAAGGUGAGACUUGCAUAACUUGGGGUUGAGAUUUAAGACUCUAUUUCAAAUCUUCUGAGUUUUAAGUUUAGGACUCUUAAGCCUAGGACUUUUUAUUUCAUAUUUUACCAUUUCUUAAUUCAAGUAUGAUAAGCAUGUCAAAUUCAUGUUCAUUCAAUAAAUGAUUCACGAGCUACUAACUUACACUACAAUUGUUUUUUAAAUAUUUAUGUGUUGUUUGGAGAGAAAGAGGCAUUUUAAAUCUAAAGACAGUAGUAGAUCAUCCAUCCUGAAUUGUUAGAGAAUGAGACACCUCAUAUUCGUGUAUUUUUCAGAAGACCGAAGCUUACUUUAACCCUUAAAGAAUGAGCUUUAAAAUCCUAUCCAUUUUUGGGGGGAAAUAUUUCUGCAAGAAGUCUCUUACUUUCUUAAGCAGAGUAUUUCAAACUGUUUUAUCAUGAAUUGACAAUCUAUAAUUGUAUAAAUUUAUGGGGUACAACAUGAUGUUAUAAUUUAUGAGUGUGAUGUGGAAUAACUAUAUCAAGCUAAUUAAUAUUUUCAUUACCUCAAAUACUUAACAUUUUUUGUAGUGAGAACAUUUGAAAUGCACUCUUAGCAAAUUUGAAAUGUACAAUUCUCUAUUAUUAACUAUGUUCAACACACGGUCCAAUAGAACUCAAAAAA